rnacentral:rRNA from 1 species
GAUGAACGCUGGCGGCGCGCCUAACACAUGCAAGUCGAACGGCACCCCUCUCCGGAGGGAAGCGAGUGGCGAACGGGUGAGUAACACGUGGAGAACCUGCCCCCUCCCCCGGGAUAGCCGCCCGAAAGGACGGGUAAUACCGGAUACCCCGGGGUGCCGCAUGGCACCCCGGCUAAAGCCCCGACGGGAGGGGAUGGCUCCGCGGCCCAUCAGGUAGACGGCGGGGUGACGGCCCACCGUGCCGACAACGGGUAGCCGGGUUGAGAGACCGACCGGCCAGAUUGGGACUGAGACACGGCCCAGACUCCUACGGGAGGCAGCAGUGGGGAAUCUUGCGCAAUGGGGGGAACCCUGACGCAGCGACGCCGCGUGCGGGACGGAGGCCUUCGGGUCGUAAACCGCUUUCAGCAGGGAAGAGUCAAGACU